rnacentral:tRNA from 1 species
GCGGGUGUAGUUUGUGAACUCCAGCCUUCCAAGCUGAUCACGUGGGUUCGAUUCCCAUCACCCGCUCCA